rnacentral:tRNA from 1 species
AUGGCUAGUAUCAUCGAGGCUUCAGCAGCUCUGCGUAAGCGGAAAAAUCUUAAAAGAGGUAUUCAGUUCACUUUGAUGGUUGUUGGACAAUCUGGGAGUGGGAGAUCUACAUUUAUCAACACGCUUUGUGGGCAAAAAGUGGUGGAUACCUCCACAACUAUUCUGUUGCCUACCGACACAAACACACAGAUCGAUGUGCAAUUGAGGGAGGAGAUUGUGGAGUUAGAAGAUGAGAAGGGGGUCAAGAUCCAGUUGAACAUUAUUGACACGCCUGGGUUUGGGGACUCUUUGGAUAACUCUCCUUCUUUCGAGGUUAUUUCGGAUUACAUUCGUCAUCAGUACGACGAGAUUUUACUCGAGGAGAGUCGUGUAAGGAGAAAUCCUCGUUUCAAGGAUGGGAGGGUACACUGUUGUUUGUACUUGAUCAACCCCACGGGACAUGGGUUGAAGGAGAUUGAUGUUGAGUUUAUCAGAAGACUUGGGUCGUUGGUUAACGUGAUCCCUGUCAUUAGCAAAGCGGACUCUUUGACUCCUGAGGAGCUUAAACUGAACAAGAAACUCAUUUCGAGGGACAUCGAUUAUUACUCGUUGCCAAUCUACAAUUUCCCAUUCGAUGAAGAAGAUGCUACAGAUGAAGAUUUCCAAACGAACACUUAUCUCAGAGGACUUCUUCCCUUCAGUAUUGUUGGUUCCAACGACGUGUUCGAGUCUUCUGACGGCACUGUGAUUCGCGGCAGAAAAUACCCAUGGGGCACACUAGACGUGGAAGACGCAACCAUUUCAGACUUCGUCGUGCUCAGAAACACGUUGCUCAUUUCGCAUCUAAGCGACAUGAAGGAGUACACUCAUGAAAUCUUGUAUGAAAGAUACAGAACGGAGGCUUUGUCCGGUGAAAUGCCACACGCCAGUGUCGUGUCCUCAGAUAGGGUGUUCAGUGGGGUUGACGGUAACCAAGAAUACCCAGGAUCACCAGUUGCUUCGGGCAGAGAUUCGAUUAGAGGAGCACACGGUGUAGGAUACAAUAACGACGUCAACUCCAUGCACUCUAACAACAAUGCCAAUGCCAACAACAAGGACACUUACUUGGCCAGAGAAGAACAAAUCAAGCUCGAAGAAGAAAGGCUAAGGGUGUUCGAAGAAAGAGUACAACAAGAAUUGCAACUAAAGAGACAGGAAUUGCUACAAAGAGAACAAGAACUAAGGGAAAUUGAAGAGAGGCUCGAAAGAGAAGCUAAAUUGAAACAAGAAGGUAUCAAAAUGGAGCAGUAA